UUAUUUCUUGUGAUUGUUGAGGGGUGUGUCACUCAAAACAAGGAAAUAAAGAUCCGUGGCAUGGACAUCCCAUCAUGUACUAGCCACUGAGAACACCUUCACACAGUUUCCUAAGAGCAAUUGAAACCUUUCGGCGGGGUUUUCCCACAGGUUACGAGGACCUCGAGCGCGAUAGGGAGGGUGGCCUUGAGGUUGAGAGCGCUGAGCUUGAUGGCGGUGCACAAGCAUAGAGCGGCACUUAAAUCGGUCAGCCCUUCUACCACGGGGCAGCACACUACAGAUGGGUCGCCAAUGUGUAUCAGUCCCGUGGCACCAAGGAGCCCCACGCAGGCACCAAGCUUGAGUGUAUCAAUGGGGCAGGUCUCUGGGGGCGGAGAAGCAGGGGGCUUAGAAGGCGUAGCCGGCGUAGGAGGGCAGACGGUUGAGCCGGCUGGUGGAGUUCCGGUCACUGGAGGUAGGACGGGGGUGACAGGAGGCAAGGUUGGGAUGACUGGUGGGAUGGUAAUGGGUGGCUUUCCAAUGAUCGGAGGGAGUACGGGGACGACUGGUGGGAGGGUAAUCGGUGGCUUUUUAAUGAUUGGAGGGAGAACUGGGACGACUGGAGGGAGUACAGGCACAACUGGUGGGAGGGUAAUUGGUGGCUUGACUACUGGUGGGAGAGUAAUUGGUGGCUUUCCAAUGACCGGAGGGUGUACGGGGACGACUGGUGGGCGGGUAAUGGGAGGUUUGCCGAUGAUCGGAGGGAGUACAGGAACUUUCGGAUUGGUAGGGGGGCAGUAUUUCUUUUUCUUUGCAAGUAUUUGAGGAGU
rnacentral:misc_RNA from 1 species